UAGUGUGUGUCAACUGUGCUGCUGAAGUGCUGUAUAAUUCUAUUCAGUCAAUUAUGUGUAGUGCAUUUGAACAGAGUUUGCACUUAUCCAAAGUGCACUUCCCUGGAGUUGACUGCAAUGUAAUUACAUGGGGUUGUCAUGUGUCCGUGGGUUCAAAUGACGUUGAGGUGUGUUGAGGUACAAUACUAGCCAGAGAGCUCAUUAGGUUUCAGGGACUUAACUCCAUGUGGUUGGUGAACUGUGAGGAGAGAUGUGUAUGUGUGGUUGGUGAACUGUGAGGAGAGAUGUGUUUAAAGGUGUAUGUGUGGUUGGUGAACUGUGAGGAGAGAUGUGUUUAAAGGUGUAUGUGUGGUUGGUGAACUGUGAGGAGAGAUGUGUUUAAAGGUGUAUGUGUGGUUGGUGAACUGUGAGGAGAGAUGUGUUUAAAGGUGUAUGUGUGGUUGGUGAACUGUGAGGAGAGAUGUGUUUAAAGGUGUAUGUGUGGUUGGUGAACUGUGAGGAGAGAUGUGUUUAAAGGUGUAUGUGUGGUUGGUGAACUGUGAGGAGAGAUGUGUUUAAAGGUGUAUGUGUGGUUGGUGAACUGUGAGGAGAUGUGUUUAAAGGUGUAUGUGUGGUUGGUGAACUGUGAGGAGAGAUGUGUUUAAAGGUGUAUGUGUGGUUGGUGAACUGUGAGGAGAGAUGUGUAUGUGUGGUUGGUGAACUGUGAGGAGAGAUGUGUUUAAAGGUGUAUGUGUGGUUGGUGAACUGUGAGGAGAGAUGUGUUUAAAGGUGUAUGUGUGGUUGGUGAACUGUGAGGAGAGAUGUGUUUAAAGGUGUAUGUGUGGUUGGUGAACUGUGAGGAGAGAUGUGUUUAAAGGUGUAUGUGUGGUUGGUGAACUGUGAGGAGAGAUGUGUUUAAAGGUGUAUGUGUGGUUGGUGAACUGUGAGGAGAUGUGUUUAAAGGUGUAUGUGUGGUUGGUGAACUGUGAGGAGAGAUGUGUUUAAAGGUGUAUGUGUGGUUGGUGAACUGGAACUUUCCAUCACCUCCGUGCAGCUGAAGUUGUGUUGGAAUGUCAGAGUGAUAAAGUAGUACUGAGCUUCUUCAGGGAGACUAUUUUUAACUCCUCAAUAAACAUGUGGGAAUCAAAAUAAACCCUCAAUUGUUGCGUCUCUAAUAAUAAUAAUUUUGGGGGUGUUUAUAUUUGUCCUGUCACUUUCACAAGUGUGUAAUGAAAAAGUGUUUUCUUGCAUAUCACAACUCCCUCGGAGACACCCGCUGAGAGUGGGAUCACAGCCGUGGCUCAUAUCACAACUCCCUCGGAGACACCCGCUGAGAGUGGGAUCACAGCCGUGGCUCAUAUCACAACUCCCUCGGAGACACCCGCUGAGAGUGGGAUCACAGCCGUGGCUCAUAUCACAACUCCCUCGGAGACACCCGCUGAGAGUGGGAUCACAGCCGUGGCUCAUAUCACAACUCCCUCGGAGACACCCGCUGAGAGUGGGAUCACAGCCGUGGCUCAUAUCACAACUCCCUCGGAGACACCCGCUGAGAGUGGGAUCACAGCCGUGGCUCAUAUCACAACUCCCUCGGAGACACCCGCUGAGAGUGGGAUCACAGCCGUGGCUCAUAUCACAACUCCCUCGGAGACACCCGCUGAGAGUGGGAUCACAGCCGUGGCUCAUAUCACAACUCCCUCAGAGAAACCCGCUGAGAGUGGGAUCACAGCCGUGGCUCAUAUCACAACUCCCUCGGAGA